rnacentral:misc_RNA from 1 species
GAUGAAGAACGCAGCGAAAUGCGAUAAGUAAUGUGAAUUGCAGAAUUCAGUGAAUCAUCGAAUCUUUGAACGCACAUUGUGCCCGCUAGUAUUCUGGCGGGCAUGCCUGUUCGAGCGUCAUUUCAACCAUCAAGCCCCAGGCUUGUGUUGGGGGCCUGCGGCUGCCGCAGCCCCUGAAAAGCAGUGGCGGGCUCGCUGUCAUUCCGAGCGCAGUAGUUACAUCUCGCUCCGGGCGUGGCGGUGGGCACCUGCCGUGAAACACUCCUUCUAAGGUUGACCUCGGAUCAGGUAGGAAUACCCGCUGAACUUAAGCAUAUCAAUAAGCGGAGGA